rnacentral:rRNA from 1 species
UACGUAGGGGGCAAGCGUUGUCCGGAUUUAUUGGGCGUAAAGAGCGUGUAGGCGCCAGGUAGGUCUGCUGUGAAAACUCGAGGCUUAACCUCGAGCUGUCGGCGGAAACCAUCUGGCUAGAGUCCGGAAGAGGAGAAUGGAAUUCCCGGUGUAGCGGUGAAAUGCGCAGAUAUCGGGAAGAACACCCGUGGCGAAAGGCGGUUCUCUGGGACGGUACUGACGCUGAGACGCGAAAGCGUGGGGAGCGAACAGG